rnacentral:hammerhead_ribozyme from 1 species
ACCCAGAUGACGAGUCCCAAACCGGACAAAAUGCGCAUCCUGGAC